rnacentral:rRNA from 1 species
GAUGAACGCUAGCGACAGGCCUAACACAUGCAAGUCGAGGGGCAUCACAUGAAGUAGCAAUACGGAUGGUGGCGACCGGCGCACGGGUGAGUAACACGUAUGCAACCUGCCUGUAAGCGGGGGAUAACCCGUUGAAAGACGGACUAAUACCGCAUAAUACUGGAGAUCUGCAUGGAUAUUCAGUUAAACAUUUAUGGCUUACAGAUGGGCAUGCGCAUGAUUAGAUAGUUGGAGAGGUAACGGCUCCCCAAGUCAACGAUCAUUAGGGGUUCUGAGAGGAAGGUCCCCCACACUGGUACUGAGACACGGACCAGACUCCUACGGGAGGCAGCAGUAGGGAAUUUUCGGCAAUGGGGGAAACCCUGACCGAGCAAUGCCGCGUGAACGAUGAAGGUCUUCGGAUUGUAAAGUUCUGUGAUUGAGGAAGAAUGGUAUUCUUAGGGAAUGAGGAGUACAUGACGGUA